rnacentral:antisense_RNA from 1 species
GCGUGCCGCUGUAAACUGGCCUCUGGGCCGGGGGCGAGCAGCCCCCGGGAGGCCGAGUGCAUCUGUUGGACCGUGCGAGGAGAAGAAAAAAAAGAUCGGCCAGAGGAGAGGAACUAACCGAACAUUCUUCCUCCCUACCUUAUAGAGGGGAGUGGUCAUCUACACUAAAGCAAAGUGUCAGGCGCGUCCGUGCCAAGAGACCACCAAACAGGCUUUGUGUUCCUUAUCACAGGAAGAAAAUUUUCCUUGACCUUUAGGUGCUUUUAUAUUCAUCUCAAAAACAAAAUUCUGAACUCAGGACUUGGCAAACCACCGCUGAAACUUCACUUCUACACAGAGGCUUUCUUUCCCAGAAACCCAGACCAGAUGGAGUUUCACUCCGUCGCCCAGGCUGGAGUGCAGUGGCACGAUCUCGGCUGACUGCAGCCUCUACCUGCUGGGUUCAAGCAAUUCUUCUGCCUCAGGUUCCUGAGUAGCUGGGAUUACAGGUGCGCACCACCAUGCCUGGCUAAUUUUUGUAUUUUUAGUAGAGACGAGGUUUCACCACGUUGGCGAGGCUGGUCUUGAACUCCUGACCUCAAGUGAUCCACUGCCUCGGCCUCCAAAAAUCUGGAAUUACAGAUGUGAGCCACUGCGCCAGGCCUGUAAUUUUACGUAUCUUUAUGUGAUUAUUUGAAUGUCCCUCUCUGACUAGAUUAUAAAUUCUAAGGAUAGUGUGUCUAUUAUUGCUUACCUUUUAUCCCCAGCACCUAGUCUAACACUUUACAAAUAUAUAUUAAAUUAAUAUUUUGAUAAGUUACUCAAAGUGCUACAUAAAACAAAAUUAUAGAAAAUAGUACUUUGGUAACUGUUUCGUUUUAUCAUUGCUUUCAUUAUUUCUCUGUUAACCUCAGUUUACAACUGAAAAAGAGACAAAUUGUAUAUUAUUCAGGCAAUUUAUUAAACAUUACCUAUAGAAUAUUAUGAUCUGUAUUUUACAGAAGUUAAAAAGUGAUGUAUUAGUAUUCAUAACAACUGCUCCAUGCAGGAGUAAUAGAAGUCAACAUUAAGCCCAACUCUAUUUUCAGACCAACCAUGCAACUUUAGAUCAGAGGACACAUGGGACUCUGCAUCUUAAUUCCUAAAUUUACAGUCAAAGACAUUUUCAGAGAUAAGUAUUAUGAAUUCAAUAAGAAUCUAAAGUAAGUUCUUAAGGCAAAUAGCUAUAAAAGAGAAGAAUCCUUAGUCUCUCAUCUGCUAAAAACAGCUUCACAAAUAAUUUGGAAAAUCAGCCUAAAGGUAAAUAGAAACUGCAUUUCCCCUCCAUUCUUGAAGCCAAUCUUUUUCAAGAAAUGACUAAGCAGCACCUGUUGUUGAAGACAGCAAUAAAGCCUGAACCUGACACUC